GAGGGUAUAGCUCAAGUGGUAGAGCGCAUGCUUAGCACGCAUGAGGUCCUGGGUUCAAUCCCCAGUACCUCCA
rnacentral:tRNA from 1 species